CCGGCGGCGGCUUCUUCCGGUUCGCAGGCUUCGGAAACCGAAAGGACUGUGCCUGGGACACCGCGCCGAGACCGAUUCACCUUCACCUGUGCAGAGCGCCAGCUGACCCGAGGAGGAAGCCAGGCGAGCAGUGGAACAUGAACGGAAGGGUGGAUUAUUUGGUCACUGAGGAAGAGAUCAAUCUUACGAGAGGACCCUCAGGGCUGGGCUUCAACAUCGUCGGUGGGACAGAUCAACAGCAUGUCUCCAAUGACAGUGGCAUCUACGUCAGCCGCAUCAAAGAGAAUGGGGCUGCCGCCCUGGAUGGGCGGCUCCAGGAGGGUGAUAAGAUCCUCUCGGUAAAUGGUCAAGACCUAAAGAACCUGCUGCACCGGGAUGCAGUAGACCUCUUUCGUAAUGCAGGCUAUGCUGUUUCAUUGAGAGUGCAACACAGAUUACAGGAGCAGAAUGGACCUAUAGGACAUCGAGGUGAAGGGGAGCCAAGUGGUGUUCCCAUAGCUAUGGUGCUGCUGCCAGUGUUUGCCCUCACCGUGGUUGCAGCCUGGGCCUUCAUGAGAUACCGGCAACACCUUUGAAAGUCUUGCUGUCUUCCAGUGCUCCCAGUGAACUUCCAUUUCUUUUCUCCUCCUUCCCUGCUGUUGUCCUGUAUCUUUCCCUCUCUGCAUAGCCAACACAUGAUUUAAAGUGACUGAUUCCCACCCAGAACAUUGCUGUUCAGAAGCUCCAAGUCUUCAUAUUCUAAUGGGAGAGUAAAGGUAUUGUUUGAAGGAAAGCUGAAGAAAAGACUUGCUUAGAACAAAUGAGGAGUUAUAUAUUUUGCUAGGACUGCUAAUAGAAAUUCAGCUACCACCCAAAGAUGGAACGGUCUAGUCUUCCUGUCAUCAUGGGUCACACCGUUUUAUUAGCUGCCGUGUCUUGAAGGCCAGCUGUAUGACAAGAGGAAGAGAGGAUUUUUCUUUUUUAAUGAUCUUCCUUGGGAAGUACUUGUGGCCUUUAUUUAAUUUCUAAAUAUAUUUUUGGUGCCUAUAUUGGACACAGGAGACUAAGAAGAGCUUUUUACUUUUUUAAAAAGCGAAUACAUAUAUAUAAUACAGAUACAUAUGCAUAUAUGACAGUAUAAUAUUGAUGCCUUAUGGAAAAUUAAAGAGGAAAAUGGGUGAUCCUUCCUCCUUGUUUGAAGAUUCUCAAAUGAAGACACAGAACUGAAUCCCAUUUUAAUGCUGUAUCUGCAGUGCUGCUUUGAUUGUGAGUUUCUUAUUACUGGAUACUUGUGAAUUUUACCUUCAAGCUAUGAUAGUUCUUAAGAGGUUAUUUUCCUCAUGAGCCUUGUUUUGUUUCCUUUCUUCUUUGAUUGUCAUGUUACAUUGCAUUUCUGGAUGUACACAGCAGUUUGUUUUUCAAAUCAAGUAAAUGCCCAAUAGUCCCUUGGAAAACAUGUCAGUAUAAAACCGCAAUAUCUAUUUCACUAUAGAUUAAAUGUGUUAAUGAGGCUGUCAGAUUCUAUGAUAAUCUCAAGCUUUGCUAUGUGAUAUCAGAUAUAGCAAAUGAGAUAAUACUAUGUCUAACUAUGCCUAUUAAGUGAGCUAUGGCAUUCAAUAAAAACUUGAAUUUGUCAAUGAAUCUUUA